CGCCUGUUUAUCAAAAACAUCGCCUCUUGAAAAUAUAAGAGGUCCUGUCUGCCCAGUGACCCUGUUCAACGGCCGCGGUAUUUUGACCGUGCAAAGGUAGCGUAAUCACUUGUUUUUUAAUUUAAGACCUGUAUGAAAGACCUCACGAGAAUCGCACUGUCUCCUUUUUCUAAUCAGCGAAACUAAUCUUCUCGUGAAAAAACGAGAAUCACCCUAUAAGACGAAAAGACCCUGUGGAGCUUCAAACAACAUAACAGCUAAUAUUCUUCCUAAACCCAUAGCAUGAUUAUAAGUUUUUGGUUGGGGUGACCUCGGAGAAAAAUUUAUCCUCCGAAAUGAUACAGAAUAUUCCUUAAUGUGGAAUCACAACUCUACAUAUCAGUAUACUGACAUAAAUUGACCCUUCUUGAUCAACGAACCAAGUUACCCCAGGGAUAACAGCGCAAUCUACUUCAAGAGUACCUAUCGACAAGCAGGUUUACGACCUCGAUGUUGGAUCAGGGUAUCCCAGUGGUGCAGCCGCUAUCUAAAGGUUCGUUUGUUCAACGAUUAAAACCCUACGUGAUCU
rnacentral:rRNA from 1 species